GAAGGUCGAGAUGGACCAUGUUGGGCCCCUUCUCUCCCCGUCCCCAGGCCGCAGUUCGGGGGCCACGCCCCGGCGUGCUCGGGUCACCGCGGGAAGCCCUUGAACCCCCUGGCGCCCGGCACCCACGUGCGGUAACCGCGGCUCCUCGAGAGCUCCAGGGAUGCGGAUCUACAGUAAGGGCUGUGGCCAGAUGAAUGAAUGCACAUUUUUUAGUGGGCAGAAAGAUGUUAGAAUUCAUGAAUUAGAAUAAGCACAAAGGAGGGCGAGAGGGGAGGCCGUGGAAGCCGCAUUCCUCCCCUUGCCUUGGGCGCCCACCCCCGAAGGGGCGCGUCCCCUCCCUGCUCCACUGCACGUGGGUGUUUAACCAGGGGAUAUCCAGUGCCUCAAGCACCACGACCCGGGAGAAAACUGAGUUGAGAAGUGUCCAUUCAAGAAUUGUGCCCACAAUAUACCAGGCACUUGUCCAGACCUGCAUCGUCCAAUGCCCACCUCGACCUCCCAAAGUGUUGGGAUUAGAGGCGUGAGCCACCGCGCCCUGCCUGCAUGUGGCUAUUGAGAUGUGCUGUAUGAUACACACUGGACUUUGAAGACUCAGUGUGAAAAAUGAAAAGAAUUUUAAGAGGGGUGGGGGUCGAGGGGAGGCAGAGCAGUAGGACAAAUAGCUAAUGCACGCAGGGCUUAACACCUAGACAACAGGUUGAUGGGUGCAGCAAACCACCAUGACACAUGUUUAUCUAUAUAGCACCUACAUGUUCUGCACUUGGAUCCUGGAACUUAAAAUUAGAAAAAAAAAAUAAUAAAAGCCAACAUGGCAUUCAUUACUGCCAAAAAAAAUUA
rnacentral:antisense_RNA from 1 species